GUUUACAUUACAAAAUACGUGUCAUCAUUAUCCAAGUAAAUCUUUAAUAUUAAAUGAUGAUUAUCGAAGUUCUCUUGUUUUCUUUGGAGAUGAAGUGAGUCUUUAGCAUGAGGAGCCAGCUAGUCUAGGUAUAUUUCAUGGGCUAUUCAAGGAAAUUAGUUUGAAUUACUGGGUUUUAUUUCUUUCUUGGCCUGGAUCAUCUGUCAUUUGCAAUUGGAUUGUUCUUGUUUUUCGCUUUCUUGAUGCUCGGUGCCAUCUUUAGCUGUCAAUUGGUUCCGUCUUCAACUAAAGAUUUGAUCUUUGCAACUUUUUUUUUUAAUUUCUCAGUUUUGCGUUUGCUGCAAAUUUCUUGUCAAAGAAAAGAUAGCAAAUGAUGCGUUGUUGUAUCACAUAUACCUUGUUGGUGUAAAAAGAUCUUGAUUUUUGUGGAACUGGUUAGCUCGUGGGUGUUGUUUUGUAUUUGUCAAUGGCAGAGGUGGUUGGGCCAAGGUUGUACAGUUGCUGUAAUUGCAGAAAUCAUGUUGCCCUUCAUGAUGAUGUCAUUUCUAAGGCUUUUCAGGGAAGACAUGGUCGCGCCUUUCUGUUCUCUCAUGCGAUGAAUGUUGUGGUGGGGCCGAAGGAGGAUAGGCAGCUAAUGACUGGUCUCCACACUGUUGCUGAUGUCUCUUGCUCCGACUGCAGUGAAGUGCUUGGUUGGAAAUAUGAACGAGCUUAUGAGGAAACACAAAAAUACAAGGAAGGGAAGUUCAUACUUGAGAAGUCAAAAAUAGUCAAAGAAAACUGGUAGCAAUUGUGCAGCUCCCCCCCCCCCCCUCUUUCCCAAUGUUGUUGUAAGUGGAUGAAAUUGUGGUUGCUGUUGCUUGUGCAUCUUGUGCAGGAAAAUCUCAUGAAUUGCAAAUAUUGACGUGAUGUUCCUCAACACUCAUUCUUGUGCUCCAUUUGAGGUUUUAGCAGCUUGGGAGUUUCGAAGGCGCAUCAAACAUGACUAACAAUGCCGAUGUUCUGAUGCCGAAACAAAUUUACUCUGUCCCUAGCUUAAUGUUUUCCUUUUAGUAAAAAAUGGGGAUUAUUAGUUAAGUUUGUAAUGAUCUUCUCAAUUGUCUUAUCGGCCUCUUGUUCCGGCCUCUCAAAAGGCAUAAUCAAACAUGGUGAGCCCUCAUGCUAGCUUGAAAAUAACAUGUUAUUCGGUGAUCAUGUAGUAGUUGUCUCUACCAGUGGCAUGUGGCUGUCGCUCUAUGAGCGGGACAGACUUUAAAUUAACUGGUAACCACAUUUCAUAUAUAAUGAGGACGAUUGUCACAUUUCUAGACAGUUGGCCAUGCUUGUGGAUGCUUACACAACUGGCAAAAUGCCUGUCUGCAAGAAAAACUUCAUUUUAGUACAAGAUUGAAUGCCCAAGAAAACUUUUGAGUUAUGAAGCAGGGAAGUGCAAAAAUGCGUGUCACAUGCAUGCGUUCUGGGCAGCUGCAACUUCCACUUGCGAAGGCAUUCAAAAGAUACAAAUUAACAAGGACUUUCAAAGUUGUGAAUAAUUGAGGAAGAAACAAAAAUAGUAGUGGUAUAAUUGUCCUUCUGCUUCUGACAGGAUAUUCCACUGUACCAUCCAUGAUCAACAGGUUAUCAAAUGCGAGAAGAAAGCACUUAGUCUGAUUGCCCUCUUAAACAGGGGUAUUUGUACUGCAUUUAGCUCACGGAAAAUCAAUUGUUACGCCUUUACGAAGCUAAUUGGCUUAAACACUGCAAUCAUACAACUGGAAGCCAUCAUAUUUCGGAAUUGCUUCUUAACU